rnacentral:rRNA from 1 species
CACCGCGGUUAUACGAGAGGCCCUAAUUAAUACCCGCAGCGUAAAGAGUGGUUAUGGGACCCUUAUACUAAAGUCGAAAACUCCUCCAGCUGUUAUACGCAUCCAGGAGUCCUAAUUUCUCUCACGAAAGUGACUUUAUUGAUAUCCACCAGAACCCACGACAGCUAGGUUA